rnacentral:rRNA from 1 species
GACGAACGCUGGCGGCGUGCUUAACACAUGCAAGUCGAACGGUAAGGCCCUUCGGGGUACACGAGUGGCGAACGGGUGAGUAACACGUGGGUGAUCUGCCCUGCACUUCGGGAUAAGCCUGGGAAACUGGGUCUAAUACCGGAUAGGACCCUGGGAUGCAUGUCCUGGGGUGGAAAGAUUUUGCGGUGUGGGAUGGGCCCGCGGCCUAUCAGCUUGUUGGUGGGGUGAUGGCCUACCAAGGCGACGACGGGUAGCCGGCCUGAGAGGGUGACCGGCCACACUGGGACGUAGAUACGGCCCAGACUCCGACGGGAGGCAGCAGUGGGGAAUAUUGCACAAUGGGCGGCAGCCUGAUGCAGCGACACCGCGUGAGGGAUGACGGCCUUCGGGUUGUAAACCUCUUUCAGCACCGACGAAGCGCAAGUGACGGUAGGUGCAGAAGAAGGACCGGCCAACUACGUGCCAGCCGCCGCAGUAA